rnacentral:tRNA from 1 species
GGUGGCUCAAUGGUAGAGUGCUUGCCUUGCAAGCACGUGGCCCUGGGUUCGAUUCCUUAGCACCA